UUCGAUUCUGGCUCAGGAUGAACGCUGGCGGCGUGCUUAACACAUGCAAGUCGAACGAAGCAACUUAUCACGAUCCUUCGGGGUGACGAUUGUGACUGAGUGGCGGACGGGUGAGUAACGCGUGGGUAACCUACCUUGUACAGGGGGACAACAGUUGGAAACGACUGCUAAUACCGCAUAAGCGCACAGUAUUGCAUGAUACAGUGUGAAAAGUUAUUUCGGUACAAGAUGGACCCGCGUCUGAUUAGCUAGUUGGUGAGGUAACGGCCCACCAAGGCGACGAUCAGUAGCCGACCUGAGAGGGUGACCGGCCACAUUGGGACUGAGACACGGCCCAAACUCCUACGGGAGGCAGCAGUGGGGAAUAUUGCACAAUGGGCGAAAGCCUGAUGCAGCCGACGCCGCGUGAGCGAAGAAGUAUUUCGGUAUGUAAAGCUCUAUCAGCAGGGAAGAUAAUGACGGUACCUGACUAAGAAGCACCGGCUAAAUACGUGCCAGCCGCCGC
rnacentral:rRNA from 1 species